GAUGCAACUUUAAAGAAUGACAUUUUAACAAGUGCAUCAGUCGUCAAGGACCAGGAUACCACUCUGAAGCUUGCCAACUAACUGUGCCAGCAAAGUGAUGUGGGUCUGCAGUUCUUGCUGGCUACGCAGUUCUUGCUGGCUACCAGUCGGUCUGUUCAUACUGGACCUGUCCUGCAGAACAGAAUCUCCACUGGCGAUUCCUGAAUGUCAGCACCUCAUCUGAUGGACCUAUCUUACUGGCCCUUCCUUUUGGGCGGCACAGAGACAGCAGGAAUUGUCAUUCAUUCAUAAGAUGUGGGUGUGGCUGACAAAGCCAACACAUGCUGCCUUCUCCUCAUCCAGGGUAAAGAUGCCAGGAAUUCUUCUUCAAAUGAUAUCAGUGAAUGAUAG